rnacentral:lncRNA from 1 species
UUUAUUGUGUACGUUUCAACCAUGCAACUUAUUUUUUCUGUGAGCUGCCUUGGAAUUUUAAAAUUUCUAUCAGUAAUAGAAAUUUAUAAUAAAAUGUCAGCAAUUCCAGAUUUUUGGUUUAUAUUAGCGUUAAUUUUACAGAUGCCUACAUAUCUGAUAUUCAUAUUUGUGUCAAAGUCUACACAUCCUAUCAAUAUAGUGCUUUCUUCACAAAAUGCACAAUACUUUCACUUAUCCGCCCCACUAAAAAAGAG